UUUGCAUGCAUUGAAUUAAACAAAUAUAUAUAUAUAUAUAUAUAUAUAUAUAUAUGUUAAGCAUCUGCAGUUUGCACAAUCAACAUUCAAACUUAAUACAGACCAAUGGAGGGCAAGAAAGAGGAUCGCCUAUCUGAUGAAUCCUCAAAGUAUUCAGCUGGACGGGUUACAAAUGAAAGCCAUGUAAGUCAUUCGUUCUCUUAUUAAAUGAAAGAAUUAAAUGAAUCCUUUUUAAUUCCAAAGACAUACAACAAAGUUCUGUGAUUUGCAUAACUUUUUUUCCUUCAAAAUUCGUUCUUAUGUUAAUAACCAGCAUUAAAUAUUUUUUCCAGUCCUCAUCAGCAGACGAAAAUAAAAAGGAAAAUCCUCAAGGCCGGGAGUUGUCGUCGUCGCCUGUAGUCGCUCGGUCACUGCCUCAACAGGCGGACUUCCUAUCGUAUCUACAUUUUCUGAUAUCGUAUCUACAUUUUCCUAUCGUAUAAAAAGGCUGGUCACCGGGGAAGUUCGGCAUCAUUACUUUUUCUGAUAUGGUAAGGGAAUUCCAACCGAGUCAAACUAAGCUCUCUUACUCCAUCCAAUAGUUCACCCUUUGCGACCUUCUAAUUAAUGGAUAAGGGAUUUUUGUGCAUAAGUGCCCAACCAAGCAUCUUUAUUAUUUCUAGGUUUAGG
rnacentral:lncRNA from 1 species